rnacentral:rRNA from 1 species
UACGAAGGGGGCUAGCGUUGCUCGGAAUCACUGGGCGUAAAGCGCACGUAGGCGGACUCUUAAGUCGGUGGUGAAAUCCUGGAGCUCAACUCCAGAACUGCCUUCGAUACUGAGAGUCUUGAGUCCGGGAGAGGUGAGUGGAACUGCGAGUGUAGAGGUGAAAUUCGUAGAUAUUAGGAAGAACACCAGUGGCGAAGGCGGCUCACUGGUCCGGAACUGACGCUGAGGUGCGAAAGCGUGGGGGAGCAAACAGG